CCCCAUACGUAUCCCAGACAGAGUUUGAGCUAGUAAGUGGCACCUUCCCUAACAUUCCACCCAGCCCUGUCUUAGAAUUGUUUUGACUGCAAGCGAUAUUUGCCACCUCUCAAUUAUUUAAAGAAAAUCACAUUUUAUUGGAACAAGAUGGCGUAAACUUACAGAUAAAAAGUACAAGAGCUAAAAUAUCUGCUAUCCGAAAAGAGACCCAGGCUGAGAACAAACAUUCAGUUUCUUUAGAGCUGUACAAUCGGAAUGAAUGCCCGCCAUCCUCACUCAGGCUUCAAAUGACCAGUCUGAUUAUUCAAGCAUUCAGAUCAGUAAUCACAAAUCAAGUGACUGCUGGCAUCAUACAACUCAAGGAAACACGUAAAACAAUAUUGAAAUAUGAUGAUAAACAGCAGCUGAAUUUCAGUAUCAAGAUAAAGUCUGAAAUGCUGAAGGUAAUGGAAAACUGGAGAGCUCCUGACUCAGCCCAAGGAACUAGUGGCUACUCAGUUCAAGCUCUUUGCUGCCAUGCAGAAAUGCAGACCAAUGGAGCCAGAACUUUUUCAAGAAAAAUCAAGAAUCAGGAAUGUAUGCAAAAUAAACAUAUUUUUAAAUUCAGCAAUUGACUCAAUUUUUUAAAUACAGUGUGAAUCAACAGGAAGCAGAUCAAUCAAACGGAAACAGAACCAUUCUGCUUAUUUGUAUCCAUGGAUUAUGGGUUAUGGAUCAGAGACUUGUGGAUGAAUUGUCCGUGCAAGUUAAUGGGAAGGAGUUGGGAGAGUCUGUGCAUCCACUUCCCUUCUCUCAUCUGUUAGGCUAUCAUAAGCUAUGCAUUUUAUUUUGAUCUAGAUUAAAUGCCUUACAUAUAUUGAACAUAUAUAUAUAUAUAUAUAUAUAUGUUAUUUGUACCUUUAUGUUUAGUAUUUAUGGAGCACCACAUUUCUUUUUUUAAACUACAUCUUUUUUUAUAUAAGUUUUAGGUUCACAGUGAAACGAAAACAGAAAUCACAGAUCCCCACACGUCCUCCCCUCAAUGCCCCAGCACAAACACACACACACACAUACAGCUUUUCCUACGAUCGACAUCCCCCCCACCAGAGUGGUACAUUUGUUAAAACUGAUGAACCCACACUGACACAUCACUAUGACCCAAAGUCCAUGGUUCACAUUAAGGUUCACUCUUGGUGGUGUGCAUUCUAUGAGUUUGGACAAACACCUAAAGACAUCUACCAUUAUAGUAUCAUAUAGAAUAGUCUCACUGCCCUAAAAGUCCUGUGCUCUGCCUGCUCAUCUCUCCUUUCCCCCUAAUCCCAGAAACUACUGAUAUUUUUAGUGUCUCCAUAGUUUUGCCUUUUUACAGAAAAUCAUAUAGUUGGAAUCAUGUAGUGUCUAGCCCUUUUAGAUUAGAUUCUUUUACUUAGAGAACUUGUGUGUGUGUGUGUGUGUGUGUGUGUAUCUUAGUUUUCUAUAUGUAUCUUAGUUUUUUUCCAUGUAUUAAUAUUUAAGCCCAUUUCUUUUAGCACUGAAACAUAUUCCAUUUUCUGUGGUAUAUGUUUCAGUUUAUCCAUUCACCUGCUAAAUUAUAUUUUGGUUGCUUUCAAGUUUUUGCAAUUAUUAAUAAAGCUGUUAUGAACAUCCGUGUAUAAGACUUA
ensembl:lncRNA